AUCACCUGCUCGGGGAUUGACAGCUACAGUGAUGUUGGCUGGUACCAGCAGAAGGUCCCUGGCACUGCCCCUGUCACUGUCAUCUAUAGCAACACCAAGAGACCCUCAGACAUCCCUUCGCGAUUCUCCGGAUCCCAGUCUGGCACCACGGGCACGUUAACCAUCUCUGGGGUCCAAGCCGAGGACGAGGCUGUCUAUUACUGUGGUGGCUGGGGGAGGA